UCUAGCCUGAGUAAUCUUGCAUGUGUCAUUUGUGUUCUUUGCUCAUUUCUUGUGUUUGUUUUGCUUCCUGACAGUAUCUGUGAGGUGUGGGUGGAUUCUAACACUUGGAACCUGGACAAAAACAAUUUUUUUCAACUUGACCGUAAGAGCUUUUGGAUCUCACUUCUAUUGACUGUGGCUGGGCUCCUGGAUUUCCCAGCAUUUGUUUUGUUGAAGACUGUGACCAACUGUAAACCGCUUCUAGUUGGAUUACUUCCUUGGACUAUUGACUCCCUUUCUCACUGGUAAACCCCUCCGGUGCAUUUACAACUCACAACUUGGAGAACCUGUGAAACGUGUUCCUCAUCCACUGGAUCUUCAAUGCAAAAUUUUUCCAACGUGUCAAAUUAACCCUUUAACUUCAUCUGGUUUCCUGAGUGUGUUUGCAUGUGGGUCAAGCACAUUACUGUAAAUCUAAAACACUAAAUUGGAGAACUAUAAUAUUUAAAUACCCAGCAAGUAUUUUAUCUUCAUUGUCUAGUAAAGAUGGCAACCUUGCUGCUAACUAUGCAUAUUGUUAAAUUUUUGCUGUUUUGUGGGAGACCUUCCUGGCACCUCUGUAGAUGUCAGUGAUUAAGUGGUGUAAAGCUUUGUUUUGUUCCACACAGAAUGCUGCAAAACUUGUAACCCAUCAAUCAUGGCAUCCAUAUUUGGAUAGAAGCCAACAGCAGCUGUUUCCUCACUUCCAGUCUGAUCUAAUGUUACAAAAUAAACACUGUGAAGUACUUUCA